rnacentral:rRNA from 1 species
GACGAACGCUGGCGGCGUGCUUAACACAUGCAAGUCGAACGGUGAAGCGAGUGCUUGCACUCGUGGAUCAGUGGCGAACGGGUGAGUAACACGUGAGUAACCUGCCCAUCACUCUGGGAUAAGCACUGGAAACGGUGUCUAAUACUGGAUACGACCAACCCUUGCAUGGGGUGUUGGUGGAAAGAUUUAUCGGUGAUGGAUGGACUCGCGGCCUAUCAGCUUGUUGGCGGGGUAAUGGCCCACCAAGGCGACGACGGGUAGCCGGCCUGAGAGGGUGACCGGCCACACUGGGACUGAGACACGGCCCAGACUCCUACGGGAGGCAGCAGUGGGGAAUAUUGCACAAUGGGCGAAAGCUUGAUGCAGCGACGCCGCGUGAGGGAUGACGGCCUUCGGGUUGUAAACCUCUUUCAGCAGGGAAGAAGCGAAAGUGACGGUACCUGCAGAAGAAGCACCGGCUAACUACGUG